GAUGAAGAACGCUAGUAAAAUGCGAUACUUGGUGUGAAUUGCAGAAUCCCGUGAACCAUCGAGUUUUUGAACGCAAGUUGCGCCCGAAGCCUUUUGGCCGAGGGCACGUCUGCCUGGGCGUCACGCAUCGCGUCGCCCCCCACAAUUCUCCGUAAAGGGAACGUGUGUUUUGGGGGCGGAUAUUGGUCUCCCGUGCUCAUGGCGUGGUUGGCCGAAAUAGGAGUCCUUUCGAUGGACGCACGAACUAGUGGUGGUCGUAAAAACCCUCGUCUUUUGUUUCGUGCUGUUGCUCGCAAGGUAAACUCUUUAAAAACCCCAAUGUGUCGUCUCUUGACGACGCUUCGACCGCGACCCCAGGUCAGGCGGGACUACCCGCUGAGUUUAAGCAUAUCAAUAAGCGGAGGA
rnacentral:misc_RNA from 1 species